GUCCCUGUGGUGCAAUCGGGGAGUGCGUUCGGCUGUUAACUGAAAGGUUGGUGGUUCAAGCCCACCCAGGGACA
rnacentral:tRNA from 1 species